UUCAAGGUCGGAAAGAAAGAGGAAGAAGUUCCCAGGCUUGGGUUUUUAAAAGGUGGUAUUCACAGAGAUGAACUUUUCAGUGGUACAAAAUGCUGUCAGUUCUCAGAAGCGGCCAGCUAUUGGCCUGAUGUCAGACACAGAAGAAACUCCCAGCAGCUUUUCUCAAACAGAUUACUUCUGUGGUGGUUUCCACAUCUUUCCCUGAAUGCCAAACCAUCACACUCAUCAAAAAAGCUUUCUUAUAGGUGCUUAUGAGCAAGAGUGGCCUGACUCUCUUGGAGGACAUGCUUCACAAGACUAGAGACAAGAGGCACAACACAGGAUGCUAUAUUUAGCUUUUCCAACAGGUCAGUAUGAAAGUAACCUAGACCUUUGUGUGAAGUAAAAUCUGUAAGUAUAAAUGUGGCUGAAGCAAAUGCAAAUAGCCAAAAAGUUAUCUUGCUCCUUGCAAAAAGUUUCAUUCAGGGUGAAGGAUCUAAGGAAA